rnacentral:lncRNA from 1 species
UCAGUCAUGUGGUAAAUGAUUUGUAUCAUAUAUGACACUGUUAAGGGCAAUCACAUGACACUAGGCAGCAUGCUAACAAAUAUCAUAAAAUAAUAAUAAUAAAAUAUUAGAUAGGAAAUGAUAUUGAGAAAACGUAAUGAUGUGAAAAGUAAAGCUCUUUUUCUUUUUCCUUUUGGCAGAUGGUAGAUGGCAGACGAAAUAAUAAUAUAAUUAAUAAUAGAGUGAUGGCAGAUGGCAAACAGAAUAAAAACUUAUCUUUUUAGACAAUGGAGUGGGCAUCAUCUUUGGUGGUCGACAAAAGCCAUCGGUCUUGAUAAAGUUCUUAUCUUAAUGAUCAAGUGCUUGAAGACUUGAGCCAAAGUGAAAACCUUUCUGACACCACCCAUUUGCUUUUCUUGAUCUCCCCGCUCCAAUAGUAAUCAAGAUUUGGGCAU